AUUGAACGCUGGCGGCAUGCCUUACACAUGCAAGUCGAACGGCAGCACGGGAGCAAUCCUGGUGGCGAGUGGCGAACGGGUGAGUACUAUAUCGGAACGUGCCCAGUCGUGGGGGAUAACGUAGCGAAAGCUACGCUAAUACCGCAUACGAUCUAUGGAUGAAAGCGGGGGAUCGCAAGACCUUGCGCGAUUGGAGCGGCCGAUAUCAGAUUAGGUAGUUGGUGAGGUAAAGGCUCACCAAGCCGACGAUCUGUAGCUGGUCUGAGAGGACGACCAGCCACACUGGGAGUGAGACACGGCCCAGACUCCUACGGGAGGCAGCAGUGGGGAAUUUUGGACAAUGGGCGCAAGCCUGAUCCAGCAAUGCCGCGUGCAGGAUGAAGGCCUUCGGGUUGUAAACUGCUUUUGUACGGAACGAAACGGCGAGCUCUAAUACAGUUUGCUAAUGACGGUACCGUAAGAAUAAGCACCGGCUAACUACGUGCCAGCAGCCGCAGUAA
rnacentral:rRNA from 1 species